AGAUUAAGUUAUUAAGGGCGCACGGUGGAUGCCUUGGCACUAGAAGCCGAUGAAGGACGUUACUAACGACGAUAUGCUUUGGGGAGCUGUAAGUAAGCUUUGAUCCAGAGAUUUCCGAAUGGGGAAACCCAGCAUGAGUUAUGUCAUGUUAUCGAUAUGUGAAUACAUAGCAUAUCAGAAGGCACACCCGGAGAACUGAAACAUCUUAGUACCCGGAGGAAGAGAAAGAAAAUUCGAUUCCCUUAGUAGCGGCGAGCGAAACGGGAAGAGCCCAAACCAACAAGCUUGCUUGUUGGGGUUGUAGGACACUCUAUACGGAGUUACAAAGGACGACAUUAGACGAAUCAUCUGGAAAGAUGAAUCAAAGAAGGUAAUAAUCCUGUAGUCGAAAAUGUUGUCUCUCUUGAGUGGAUCCUGAGUACGACGGAGCACGUGAAAUUCCGUCGGAAUCUGGGAGGACCAUCUCCUAAGGCUAAAUACUCUCUAGUGACCGAUAGUGAACCAGUACCGUGAGGGAAAGGUGAAAAGCACCCCGGAAGGGGAGUGAAAUAGAACCUGAAACCGUGUGCUUACAAGUAGUCAGAGCCCGUUAAUGGGUGAUGGCGUGCCUUUUGUAGAAUGAACCGGCGAGUUACGAUUUGAUGCAAGGUUAAGCAGUAAAUGUGGAGCCGUAGCGAAAGCGAGUCUGAAUAGGGCGUUUAGUAUUUGGUCGUAGACCCGAAACCAGGUGAUCUACCCUUGGUCAGGUUGAAGUUCAGGUAACACUGAAUGGAGGACCGAACCGACUUACGUUGAAAAGUGAGCGGAUGAACUGAGGGUAGCGGAGAAAUUCCAAUCGAACCUGGAGAUAGCUGGUUCUCUCCGAAAUAGCUUUAGGGCUAGCCUCAAGUGAUGAUUAUUGGAGGUAGAGCACUGUUUGGACGAGGGGCCCCUCUCGGGUUACCGAAUUCAGACAAACUCCGAAUGCCAAUUAAUUUAACUUGGGAGUCAGAACAUGGGUGAUAAGGUCCGUGUUCGAAAGGGAAACAGCCCAGACCACCAGCUAAGGUCCCAAAAUAUAUGUUAAGUGGAAAAGGAUGUGGCGUUGCCCAGACAACUAGGAUGUUGGCUUAGAAGCAGCCAUCAUUUAAAGAGUGCGUAAUAGCUCACUAGUCGAGUGACACUGCGCCGAAAAUGUACCGGGGCUAAACAUAUUACCGAAGCUGUGGAUUGUCCUUUGGACAAUGGUAGGAGAGCGUUCUAAGGGCGUUGAAGCAUGAUCGUAAGGACAUGUGGAGCGCUUAGAAGUGAGAAUGCCGGUGUGAGUAGCGAAAGACGGGUGAGAAUCCCGUCCACCGAUUGACUAAGGUUUCCAGAGGAAGGCUCGUCCGCUCUGGGUUAGUCGGGUCCUAAG
rnacentral:rRNA from 1 species